CAACCUUACUCCUUCACUAGUCUAAGUGGUUAAAGGUCCAUUCAAAUGCUAAUGCACCUCAUUACCAAACUUGUCUUAAAGGUUUUCUCUUUUUAGAGGUGUAGG